GACGAACGCUGGCGGCGUGCCUAACACAUGCAAGUCGAGCGGAAAGGCCCGGCUUUUGUGGGGUGCUCGAGUGGCGAAGGGGUGAGUAACACGUGUGUAACCUGUCCCUGACUGUGGGAUAACUUCAGGAAACAGGGGCUCAUACCGGGUAGGAGCUCCUGCUGCAUGGUGGGGCUUGGAAAGUUUCGGCGGUUGGGGAUGGACUCGCGGCUUAUCGGCUUGUUGGUGGGGUAGUGGCUUACCAAGGCUUUGAGGGGUAGCCGGCCUGAGAGGGUGACCGGCCACACUAGGACUGAGAUACGGCCCAGACGCGAACGGGACGCAAGGGUGGAGAGUAUUGCGGAAUAGGCGGGAGGCAGCUGCGGCAACGCCGCGUGCGGGAAGACGGGCUUCGGGUUGUGAACCGAUUUCGCCUGAGCUGAGGAGUGAGUGACGGUAAUGGGUAAAGAAGCCCCGGCUAACUACGUG
rnacentral:rRNA from 1 species